GACGAACGCUGGCGGCGUGCUUAACACAUGCAAGUCGAACGCUGAAGCUCAGCUUUUGUUGGGUGGAUGAGUGGCGAACGGGUGAGUAACACGUGAGUAACCUGCCCCCUUCUUUGGGAUAACGCCCGGAAACGGGUGCUAAUACUGGAUAUUCACUGAUCUUCGCAUGGGGGUUGGUGGAAAGGGUUUUUCUGGUGGGGGAUGGGCUCGCGGCCUAUCAGCUUGUUGGUGGGGUGAUGGCCUACCAAGGCUUUGACGGGUAGCCGGCCUGAGAGGGUGACCGGUCACAUUGGGACUGAGAUACGGCCCAGACUCCUACGGGAGGCAGCAGUGGGGAAUAUUGCACAAUGGGCGCAAGCCUGAUGCAGCGACGCCGCGUGAGGGAUGGAGGCCUUCGGGUUGUGAACCUCUUUCGCUCAUGGUCAAGCCGCAACAAUGGUUGUGGUGAGGGUAGUGGGUAAAGAAGCGCCGGCUAACUACGUG
rnacentral:rRNA from 1 species